GCGUCGGCUAUGGUUGCCAGAUAGACGAUGUUGCGGUGCAGGAUCUGCUGGUAUCUGUUGGAGAAGUUGAAAUACCGACCAGAUGCAUUUAUAAUGAUGUCUUCUGACCUCGCUUGUUAUAUUUUUGAGAUUGUGACCGAAUACCAACCAGAAAAUGUCAGUGCCUUUCCUGUUAUAACGCCUGGGAGUUGAGGAUGCCGUCAUUCUCCUGCUCACCUGGAUACACCGGCUACAGCACUGUGAGGGUCUCAUUCUUUGACUUCUCCGGUGCUUUUAACACCAUUAGUCCGACUCUUCUGGGUGAGAAGAUCAACGCUGUAAAGGUCGAUGUCCCCCUGGUGUCCUGGAUCGCUGACUACCUCACUGGAAGACCACAGAAUGUGUGGCUGCAACCUGCAGCUUUUUUUAAUUUUUAUUCUUUAUAUUUUUCUUAAACUGCUUUAUCCUGUUUGUAUUUGACUGUCACCUUGAAACUGUAACUUUAUAGGAGCAACGGCAACAAAACUACUUCCUGUAUCGAUUAAUAAAGUAUUCUGAUUAAAGUUCAGACUCAAGGAGGCAGAAAUCACAGUUUGUGUUUUUAUGUGAAAAAUGUGACACGUGUGGAUUAAAGACAGUGGCAGACAUAUAAAUUGAACAACUCUUUAUUUUUUACGUAAAAACUCAACUUUGCCAAUAUUCAAGAAAAAAUUUCCUGGUUUACAUUUCCAGUGAUUGGAAGGAGUAGCAAACAUAUGAAAACUUGUCAGUUUUGAGUAAUUCAAUAAUACAUUUAGUCCCAUAUUCAAUUUGACUGGUACUGCAAAAGCCCAUAGAAAGUGAUGGUUCCUACAGCUACCCUGCAGUGAUCAGCUGCCUGCGCGUCGUCUGGUUAGACAGCGAGUUAUGAACUGGGCUGCUCUUGUUCUAAACAACCACAGCUACAAAAAAAAAAAAAAAAAAAGCAUCUAGUUUUCACCUUGUAGUGCUAUCAAUUCUCCUGUCAAAAGUCAACCUUCAAGUUAAAGGGAGAGCUGUAAAAAUGAUCCACUCUGAAGGCACUCCCUAAAGCACUAAUAACUCUGAGCCAGAAAGAAAAAAAUAUACCCCACCUCCCCCACACACUGGCACCACAUCCAGUUCUUGUCCCUUUGUCCGCAAAUCAGUUAAAAAAAAAAAAAAAGAAGAAAUUUUACUCCAGAGAACAAUUACAUUAACAACAAAGCAACAAGGAGAGUGGCAAAUGAGCCAGAGGGCUGAUAUUUAUCAGAAACGCUGGCAUGAACUUAUGCUUCAAGACAUCAUCUAAUCCAUUUACACGAUUCGCCAUAUCCAGUAACCAAUCCCUGCAAAACUAGAAACCGAGAAGCUUGAGCAAAAAAAAAAAAAACAACAACAAAAAAACCACAACACAGUAGAUGAUGCUACUGUCAGACAAAAGAAAGAGCUUUAACAGACGGCUCAGUUUGUUCGGGACACAGAAAUGCACUGAAAUGAUCCAACACAUAAUUCAGCCCAACCAAACGCUCACCUAUUCUUUUUUGGCAAAAUAGCAGAGCAUCGACAUCUAACAUGUUAUGGGUUUCCUUUCUUAAUGAUACCAAUAGCGGACGCCGUUCUCACGCGCACAACCACAAGAAUGCUUUAGUUUAGUAUUCAACUAUGUAAACAUGUCCAGUCAACAAAUUCUUCUAAGGCUAAUGCUGUAAAACAAAAAUCAGUCCAAUGACCGGCUCUCACUGGUGGCCUGCCCUCAUCAACAGGCCACCAGAGUCCGGCUACGGCAAACCUAGAGCAGGAACACAACGACCCAAAGGAAUUCACUACAUCUCCUAAGUACAUCUCUAAAAACUAGAGGCGAGUUUGUUUGGUGGGCAACAACAGUCGGAGGGGCAGUAACAAAAAGAUGAGCGAGAUAAUACAUUCAUUAUUUAGAACGGUUGUUUCUGGAUUCAAUUUUACGACUUUAAGGAGAAUGAAUGAAAACUUAUAAUGGAUGGGGGAGAAAAAACAAAAAAAACACUGAACACUGGUAACCAACCAAAGCCUGAAGAGAAUUAUGGUGCAACAGUCCGUUCUGUGAAUUUUGGUGGCAACAUAUAUCAAAAACGGGGGCAAAAAGAUAAAGCUAGCGAUCACAUUAAGCGUGAUCCACUCACAGUAUAAGAGGGCUUCCUGCACACAGCUUCCUAUAUCAAAGACAAUUUCAGUAAGAAAUUAACUUGAUGCAAAAGUACUGAAUUUCUCCAAAAACAAGGUAUUUACAUGUGUUCAAGUCCAUCUGGUGACUGGUUCAAACAAAACAUCUGGGGCAA